rnacentral:rRNA from 1 species
GAAUCUUGCACAAUGGGCGGAAGCCUGAUGCAGCGACGCCGCGUGGGGGACGAAUGCCUUCGGGUUGUAAACCCCUGUUGAUCGGGACGAAUGCCCGUACAUUAAUAGUGUGCGGGUUAUGCCGGUCCCGGUUGAGGAAGCCCCGGCUAACUACGUGCCGUCCGCCGCGGUAGUACGUAGGGGGCGAGCGUUGUCCGGAAUUACUGGGCGUAAAGGGCGUGUAGGCGGCCUUGCAAGUCUGUGGUGAAAGCCCACGGCUCAACCGUGGGAUUGCCAUGGAAACUGCGGGGCUUGAGGUCAGGAGAGGAGAGCGGAAUUCCCGGUGUAGCGGUGGAAUGCGUAGAUAUCGGGAGGAACACCAGUGGCGAAGGCGGCUCUCUGGCCUGUCUCUGACGCUGAGGCGCGAAAGCGUGGGGAGCAAAC